UCAGUACCCAGGACAGAACUGAGGCCCACUGAAGAAAGGGUGCCCUCCCGGGAGGAGGGAGUACCUGGAGAUUGAGAAGAGAGGCUAGGGAUGGAAAAGAAUGCAUUUGCCAGAUCAAGGAUUGCAUACCAUGUACCUGUUCAUCUGCUCUAGCAAUGAUACCACAUCAGGCAAGGCAGCUAUAAAAGUCCAAGAAUGCUGAGCUCCUGGCCUCUGAGUGGGGGUCCACCACCUGGAUUGGGAAGUUCUGGAGACUGAAUUUAUGCCACAAAGCACUGACUCCACACUCAGCUCUCAGGGGCAGCAGGUUGGAGCUUCAGAGCACAGCCCCCACCCGUUCUGCCCAGAAUCCGUGACCACCUGCCAAGAUGUGGCCGGAUGGUACACACCAGUCCUGGUACAUGGGGUCACCAUGGUUGGAGACACUUUCCCAAGAAGCUGCCCUGAUCCUAUAACCAGGCCCUUCUCUCUGACAUGAAGAAGCUUACAUGAGGCACAGGGUUUGGUUGGCUGGAGACUUACUAUUAUUAUUAUUAUUAUUAUUAUUAUUAUUAAUGUUUAUUUUUGAGAGAGAGAGAGCACGCGUGAACGCACAAAUGGGGUAGGGGUAGAGAGAGAGGGAAAGAAUUCCAAGCAGGCUCUCUGCUGUCAGCACAGAGUCUGCCGAGGGGCUUAAACUCACAAACCUGUGAGAUCGCGACCUGAGCCAAGAUCAAGAGUCAGACACUUCACUGACUGAGCCACCCAGGCGCCCUAAGGAGGCUUUUGAUACAAUAAGUUUGUUUCAUUGUUUUUUUUUUUUUCAAUGCUGGAAUCAUCUCCAAUUUGGUCAUUAUUUUGGCCAGAGCAAAAUACCAGGUGAAAUUUUGAAAAGAAAGAAAACUGUCCCAUUAGGGAUUAAAAGACAGUCAGGGCUCACCAUUUCUGUAAAUCUUCUAUAACUUGAGUUGAUGUGGAAUUCACAUGGAGGAUGAACAUGCCAUUUGCCCUGUAAUGCAGGGCUGGCUUUACAGGCUGGCAAUCUGUGCAAUCAUGCAGUCACUUAGCAGGGCCUGUGCUGGGGCGUCUGGCUGUGUCAGUAGGAAGAGCAAGCAACUAUUGAACUGGGGGUUCUGAGUUUGAGCUCCAC